CUCCAUUUCAUUUUUCAUUUCCCCAUCUUCUUCAACCCUAAUUAGAGCCACCACCCCCAAAUAACACCUCCCAGACCAUCGUCCUCUCCACGCCUCCCAACCCCGUCUUCUUCGUUUCCCCACCCAACAAACGACCUCAACCAGCGGUGCCACAGCUCCCUCCUCCAUCUCCAACCACAAACCAGACGACUCCAACCAGCCCCAUCGCCAAACAGCCACCAAAUUCGCGGCGUGUUCAGCCUGAAAAUCACGCACACACACACGUAAACAUAAGGAGAGAACAAGAGCGAAAAGAUGAACUAAUUUUCUCAUCUCUAAUCCACAUAGAGGAAACGGACCGAAACAGGGGCAGGGUUAGCAUUUCUCUUUACUUUAUGGAUUCUUUACGUUGCUUUAACCUUGCCGCGAGACUAGCUUGUGCAUUCACUAGUGGCGAGAUGGAGUUUGUUUGAGUCAGAGUUGAAUUCGCUGUUUUUGAGUCGCUGUCGAAGCUCGGAGUCACAUUUCGCAGAAUCGUUGUUUCCGGUUUGAGGUCCGUUUUGCAUCAAUGGUUCAAAUUUCAGUUGUGUCACUUGUUGUAGCCAUUUUGGCGUCCAGAAGUUGUGAAGUUGAAAAUUCUCAUUAAUUGGCAACACUAGGUAUAUCUUGAUCAUAUGGAUAUCAUUUGAGGUGUAAACUUGAGUCAUGAAUUAAGAAUGAGAAAGCUAGUCUACACCCUUUCUUCUUUUAAUAUACUAUCACUGUGUACUUUUGAGUUUUCAAUUAAUGUAUUGUACCCAAAAGGGAGGUUUGUAAUUAAAAGUUAAAUCACAUAGUUUUUGUGUAACUACUUUCUUCCUUAUUGUGACUGUUGGACGCUGUAGUUAUUCUAUGAACUCGUUAUUUUAGAGUUUUGUUCAAUCAAGUUAUUCUGCUUAAAUCUUAUGGGUUUGGAAAUGAAUGAAUAUUUUCAUGAUGGUAUGAUUGUUGUAGUGAAGUUAAGUUGUGGUUUAUGGUUUCAUUUCAUUUUCUUGUUAAUGGAUUUAUCAUGCUAUCCAUGGAUCUCCCUCUUUUAAUUUCAUUUGGUCUAAUAUUGCUUGUUUGUUGCAUUGAAGUACCGCAUCCAAGGUGAAAAGAAUGACUUUUUCUUAUAUAUUUUUUUUGACUAGUACAUGAGAUUUAAUAUUUUCUAGAAGUGUUUAAAUGUUGAUAGCAUGAAUUUCAGUAGACAAAACUCACUUCUCACCAUUGUAAACCGAUAUAUUUUCAUGGCAACCACAAGAAUCUGUUCUCAUGUGAAAAGGGGAUUAGCAAAACUAAGAAGAAAGAAAGGAUUGAAGUUGUAUAGAGGCGAUUAAAAGCCUAGUCUCAUUUCUUUCUAUUUUUGGGUCAAAAAUAAGACGUACCAACUACUAGAAGAUUUUGUAUAUUAAUUUUUCUUUUAUUUUUUUUUGACAUAUAACUUAGUUUAAUCCCAAUAAAAGCUUUUUUUUCCACUAAAAAAAAGCCCUUAUUCUCAAGCCGCUUUAUUAAGAUUGGGUAAGUAUUUUAUGCAAUACUAUAUACAGUGUGCCGAUUUUGUUUA